rnacentral:misc_RNA from 1 species
GAAAGCUAAUAGCCCUCACGUGACCGGACGCAUCGAUGCCCUCCAUCCUAUUGGCCUGGUGAUGACAUUGUCGUGAUGGCGAUCUGCUGGAUGGAAAAGAGUUGAGUGAAUUUGGCUGCUGCUCGAUCGGAAGGCGAAGAAGAAAAACUGCCGAAUUCUAAUAAUAUGGAAGAAUGCGACGAUAGCGCCGCCGUCAAGUUAUUGAGAAUAACUGCAGUCGGAUCACGAUUGACAACUUUCCGUAAAUAACGGCGCGACCUGACAGACAUUGUUCCACCAUCCACCCACGUAAAAAAAGAAUUUGUUUGCAUGCACGACUAGCAGCAGCGACUGGCACAGCACAAUUGUCAACACAAACCAAAUGGGCUCCUGGCUGGAACGAAUCUACGGCUGCUGCUCCAGCGCGGAUUGGUGCUGGUGGCCCAAUUCAAGCAGGAAGUAUAAUCCAGCGGCGGCAUCUGGCAGGGACGACGACGACGACGACGACGCCCUGAUUGAGGCGACGACCGGCAGCUUCGAAUCCAACAGCGGCAGCAGGAUCGCCAUGCUCUCCCGCGGCAAAAUUAAGUAUGUCAAGGCUGGAGUUGUGAACCACACGGGAUCCUCGCACAUUGGGAUUCCCAUCAUCGAUCCGCUGAUUGGCCAGGAUUACAACAACAGUAGUAGCGGCGGGACGCAUCGUCAGAAUCAUCAUCAGCGGCAGCAGCUGUUCACGCAACUUCAUCAGCACGCCCGGCUCCUGGUCAACAAGAACAUCUUUCAUUGGCAUCAACAGACGCACCAUCAGCAUCAGUGGUGGUGGGACUCGAGCACUCCGCCCUCCUCUGUCGAUCUCGAAUGGGAACACGAAGGUUUAAUGCCGCCGGUGAUGGAAUCGGCCAGCGAGGAUGGAGAAGCCGAAGCGGAGGACCAAGAUGAGGUGGAUUUGUACGAUACAGCCGAUGAAGGGGAAGCGGCCGAUGAAGGAACGAGAGCGACGGAUGUGAUGGCAAGGACGACAAAGAAGACUGCCGGCCCAAAUGAUCCGGUCGCUCCCCAUCGAUCCCCGUCACCUUCUUCCGCUUGCCACUCUCUCGAAUGGGAUUCCAACGGCGACGAUUUCUUCGGACACGAUUGCCGGACACACAACAUCAAGGCCUUUUCAUCCUAAAUGAUCCUGAAAUUUUUCCCUCUCUGUGUGUGUCCCCUCAAGAGAGCCGGGACGAAAAUCGGGAGGGACAGUGAAGAAGAGCACACAGUAAGGGCAGGGGAGAAACGAGCCUGGAGGCAAAUCCAAAUGUCAUUUUGGAGGACCAAACACCAAAAAAAGAAAAAGAAAGCGAAAAUAAUAGAUGUCGACCUACACUACUACCGCGAGCUCCUUGUUCAAGGCGAGGAUCAAUAAGGCGCCAGCAGGCAUUAAAAGAGCGCUCUCUACUCGCUCCUUUUUUUUCUUAGGGAACAAUCGAUCCACGUUCCCGGCGUGUGAGAGAUCCGUCGGUACGUACGGGAGGGCUUCCUCUUGGCUUUGCACGCGGACAUAGAUGGCGACACUCGGCCUCGACGGCUCCUAAGCCCCCACCGACUGUACACACAACCCCGCUCGCUCCCGACAUCACCCAAAUAGACGAGUGAACGGCGAUCAAGCGAUUCCAAGGCCUUAUGUAUUAUUUUUGGGGGUUGUUGUUGUUGCUGUUGUCUUCGUCUCUCAUCUCUCGUGUUAUCAUCAUUUCACUUGUGUGUCUUUUUACUGUACACGUCUGUCUAGUUGUCUUCCAUCUCUUCACCCAGAGGUAUUUAUUAAGGGAUGUUGUACAGACUUGUGUGUGAGCAACGGUGGGAAGAAAUGUGACUGGCGUCGGCUGGUGUGAGCGGAAGCAGCAAAUCGUCUUUCAAAUGGUCAUAUCAUCAUUUCGCGGCAGCGUUCAAAGGCUCCUCCCGCGCUCUGAUAACAGACGAAUCUUGAACGCGCUUGUUUAGGAUAGCACGAGAGAUAUCCCGUAUUGUAUUGCAGUGUGUCUGUCUGUCUGUGUGUGUGUGUAUAAUAUGUGUGGAUUGUGAAUGUGUGUCGGGAUCAUGUUGUUAUAACCCCCCACCCACCCCACGUAAUCGAUUUUUCAUCAAUCUGGAGCGGAUGGUAAAAUGUCAACGUGUACAUAGGCAACGUGCGAGAAGGGCGUCUCUUAUCAUCUUGUUACUGUCACCUCGUCUUGAAUAACGCAAAUAUAUCUGAAUUUGAGCCA